AUGCAGGACAACAGAUUAUUCAGCCUUAAAAAGGAAGGCAAUUCGGACGCACGUCACAACACGGAAGAGGCUUGGAGUUAUUACGCCGGGCGGGGGAGCCAGCCACAGGACAAGCACUGUGCGAUCCCACUGCAUACCCCCCGAACAGUAAACCCACGGAGACAGGAAGUAGAAGGGUGGGUGUCAGGGUGGGUGUCAGGGCUGGCAGAGGGGAAUGGGGAGUUAGUGUUGAAGGAGGACAGGGCUUACUUUCGCGACAAGAAAGCCCUAGAGAGCCGGUGCAGAACGAUGCGAGUAGACCCAACUGUAGAGCUAAAAAUGAUUCAGAUGAGCCCUCCUGCAGCCCCCGAUGGCCUCGGGAUCAAGUUCAAACCCUCAGCAUGGCCCAGGGCCUCUCCGUCCCUCCCUCUGCAGGCCCAGCUCCUGGAUGCUCCCUCCUCUCGCCCAUCCCGGAGACCGGCACUAUUCUGCCCUCUGCGCAGAGUAGCCACCCCUGCCUGCAUCAGCUCAUCAUCCUCAGAAGCAUCUCUAGCCUUAGGAAGAGAACAUCCCCAGCCUGUCGCCUCCGCAGGGCUGAAUAAGCUCAUAAUGUCCUUUGCCCGCCUCUGUCACGGGGCUAGUUUGCCCUCAAUAAUGAGGCCUGAGAGGGAGGACCCCGUCUGUUCAUUUAAGCAUUGGACACUUGGAGGCUGAAGCAGCCAGGAGUGGGUUUUUGUGUCAUCCCACUUCAGCCCACAUGCACCUACGUCCACCGACUCAAGCUACUGACUGGACAGAAUGCAGGAAGCAGGGAAGAGGCCAGAAGAGGGUGCGCGGAUGGAGCUCCUGCAGACGCCACGUUCCCUGGGAGCAGUCCCCUUGGGACAGGCCCAUGGGAGCCCCAAAGCAGAUCCUGCUCCCAUCCCAGUUCAGCACUGGGAAGCCUGGUGCUCCGCAAGGCCCUGGGAUGUUCAGCCUCUGCCUGGCCUCACCAGCAUCACCCCAGGCACCAAACACAUUCUCCCGAUUCCCACAUGCCGCAUCCCACGUCCUCAGGAUAAGUUCGAGGCAGCAAGAAGUGGGGCCCGGCUUGCUGCCCUGGCCCCGCUGCCCUCUGUGCACCCCAGGGCAUUUUCCCCAUCGACACAGUCUCCUGAAUCUCGCAUUCUAGGAGACUAUCUUAGCCUGUGCAGCAGGCUGCUAUUGCAAAAUACCAUUGACUGUGCAGCUUAUAAACCACACGUUUAUUUCUCAUGGUUCUGGAGACUGAAGCCUCAACACAGGGUGCCGACCUGCUCAGGCUCUGGUGAGGGCCUCCUCCAGGCUGGCGGACAGAGGACUUCCCGCUUGUCCUCAAGUGGCAGUAGCACGAUGGAGCUCUCCCAGCCUCUUUCAUAAGAGCACUAAUCCCAUUCCUGAGGGCUCCACCCUCUUGACCCAGUCACUUCCCAGAGGCCCCACCUCCUAGCACCAUCACGAGGGUUUCAACAUCAAAACUCUGGGAGGACACAAACAUUCGGUCCAUAACAGGUAUCAGGAUCCCAUUAGCAAUCCUGUCCGGCUCCAUGAGAGGCUAGCUGAAACGUCCGAGUGGGCAGGUGGAUCAAGUUGUGGGCUCUGUCUGCCCAAGGAGCUGCCUCAGGGCUCCACCCUGCCCCUGCCCCUGCCCCAGCCCAGAGGAAGGGUGGGGCCCAGACACCUAAGGAACCAUAGUAUGUGUGAAGAGGAGUCCCCACUCUUGUACCCGAGUGGGGCAGAAGAGAAAAAUGCACCUCCAAGGCCGGGCGCGGUGGCUCAAGCCUGUAAUCCCAGCACUUUGGGAGGCCGAGACGGGCGGAUCACGAGGUCAGGAGAUCGAGACCAUCCUGGCUAACAAGGUGAAACCCCAUCUCAACUAAAAAAUACAAAAAAUAACUAGCCGGGCGAGGUGGCGGGCGCCUGUAGUCCCAGCUACUCGGGAGGCUGAGGCAGGAGAAUGGCGUAAACCCGGGAGGCGGAGCUUGCAGUGAGCUGAGAUCCGGCCAUUGCAUCCCAGCCUGGGCGACAGAGCGAGACUCCCUCUCAAAAAAAAAAAAAAAAAGAAAAAGAAAAAUGCACCUCCACUAAUCCAAGUGUGACCCAAGUAUCCAAGACCUCACCAGUGUGGAGGAGAAAUACAAUGCCACAGCUCCAUCCAGAGCUCCCUGGCUCCUCAGCCCCCACCUCCUAGCCAAGGAUCUUGCCUCAGUUUCCUCCCCUGUAAUUGCUGGGACUCCCCAGGGGUGCCUUACUUUUGUGCAAAACCACAUUUCUGACAUCCUUCAAAUGCCCACUGUGCACAGAAAGGCUCAGCACUCCCACAGCACUCAUUACACUGGUAAACCCAGGCAGCGUUCCUUCCAAAUGCAGGAGGAGAUGCUGGUGGUGGCCGUAGUGGCCCGUCUGUGACUCCAGUGCACAGCACAGCUGAAAGCUCAGUGUCCGUCCUCUCCCUCCCUGCCCUCUCCUUUACUAGCAAUGACAUUUAGGGGACUGACCAGUUCUAGGCCUGAGUCUACUCUCAGCCAGUGUGGAGGUGCCUUCUUUGUCAUCAACGAUUAGUUGGAGAGUCCAGAUUUAGACCCCUGUGCACACGGCAUUCUCCUGGAAGCAAAUCCUGUCUGCCACAAGGAAACCAGGGCCAUUCUCCCAGGGAGAGGGAGCUGGCUGCAGGGAGGCUGAGGCUGUGGACAGAGUGGGGGACAGGCAGGCCCAGGUCCUCAAGAGGAGAUGAAGGGGGUCAGGCGCUUGAUGAGCCCACUUCGAAACGCACCCCAUUUCUGAACUCCCAGCUUCACACGCUCCAAAUUGCUAAUCGUCCAAGCCAGCUGAGUGCUUCCUAAAGGGCACUGAGGAUGCAGGGGCCCUGGACCUACCGGGACACACCUGCGGCCCAGCCUCUCGAGGGCCCAGCCUGCGCGAACCCUUCUCCCCACCCACUCACCCACUGCCCAUGUGGCUAUGCAGCGGGGAGCACCUCCAGACUCCCGAGGAGCCAGGUCUCCAGGAAAGAGGGGAACUGGGAGAAGAAAGAGACAGGUUGUUUCAAAGCUUUCCCGCCCAACGCACCUCUUCUUUUCUGUUUCGCCUGUACGCAAACUAUGGCAAAAUCAGAGUUCGGUAACUCUCUGUCUUCGGGUGGCAUAUCUGCCUUCAGGAGAUUUAAAUGCUGAGUCACUGUCAUGAAGUUCUUGACUCGAUUAUACGGAAUCAACUUGUAUGAGGCAUCUGGAAAUCUCUUUUGAGAGGUCAGAAGCAGAAAAAUAAAACAGCAUUCUCUGUUUCCCAUGAUUCAUAAAACCAUUAGCAAUUCUCUGUAAAUUACUCAGAAAACAAAGAUGAGCAGUGGGUUUCUCAGCCACCCAGAGAGGGGCUGAGGGGCUCAGGACCCCUCCCCAGGCCCAGCUCCAAUCUGGGGUAAGGCUCCCAGACAGGGGCCCUUCUUCUCCGUCUCCUCAGCGGUCCCCUGGCCUCAGGGCCACGUUGACUGCCCCAUGCUGGGGCUCUCCCACAGGCUGGCCCAGGUACCAUUCACCUGCUCACCCUCAGAGCUCAGCAGCGUGUGCUGCCUGAUGACAUCAACGUCUCUGUCCCAUGGGGCCUCACAGAGCUCCCCAAGAACUCCGUGUUUCCAGAUGAAGGGAUCGGAGACCCAGAGAAGUGACUGGCAGUCCAGGGCCCCACAUGUCCUCAGCUCAGGCCUGGACACCCGGUGCUGCCUGGGCUCUGUGUCCAUCCAUAAGCAUGUCCCGGCUCCUCUUACCUGCCAGGGGGCCAUCUUUGUGGGGGAUCCUCUGGACAGGACAGUCGGGAAGGGUCCUGCCUUCAGGCAGCUUCUCACGUAGUGGGAAGACAGACCAGAAAAGAAAAGAAACACAGAGUGAGGCCUCAGAACUGCGGACAUAGUGAGAAUGUGCGUCAGGCAGCUUCUCACGUAGUGGGAAGAUGGACCAG
ensembl:lncRNA